ACCCAUCUAACGAGUCCCAAAUAGGAUGAAACGUGCGUCCUGAAU
rnacentral:hammerhead_ribozyme from 1 species